rnacentral:RNase_P_RNA from 1 species
CGACCGGGACGGACAGUCGCGGGGUGCAGCCCAACGGCUGCAUCAUGAGGAAAGUCCGGGCUCCACAGGGCAAGGAUAACGGGUAACGCCCGCCCAGAGCGAUCUGAGGAAAAGUGCAACAGAAAUAUACCGCCUCGUCCUUUUAUACCAGUCAGGAGACUGCAAGCAAUGUCUCCCGUCUGCGCCAAAAAAGCCAAUAAAGCUCCGCUUUGACGGCAGAGGAGAAAGAACGAAAACCGUUCUCCCGUCCCCCCAACCGACAAAGCCCCGCUUUGACGGCAGAGGAGGCGCAACGGAAUGUAUGAGCUUUGCCGCUUGCGGCGAAGCGAAGGAUAUGAAGUUUGCGCCGACGAGGUAAGGGUGGAAACGUGCGGUAAGAGCGCACGCAUCGGCGUGGAAGCGUCCGUUGCUGUAAACUCUAUCCGGAGCAACACCGUGGAGGAAACAAGGCUUGCCCGGCUGUUUCCGAGGAGGUGGCUGGAGCGCACCGGCAACGAUGCGCCUAGAUAGAUGACUGUC